CCUACGGGACGCAGCAGUGAGGAAUAUUGGUCAAUGGCCGGGAGGCUGAACCAGCCAAGUCGCGUGAGGGAAGACGGCCCUACGGGUUGUAAACCUCUUUUGUCAGGGAGCAAGGUGCAGGUCGGGACCUGCUGUGAGAGUACCUGAAGAAAAAGCAUCGGCUAACUCCGUGCCAGCAGCCGCGGUAAAACGUAGGGUGCAAGCGUUGUCCGGAAUUACUGGGUGUAAAGGGAGCGCAGGCGGAUUGACAAGUUGGGAGUGAAAACUACGGGCUCAACCCGUAACCUGCUUUCAAAACUGUCAGU
rnacentral:rRNA from 1 species